GUUGAACGCUGGCGGCGUGCCUAAUACAUGCAAGUCGAGCGGAAGGACGAGAAGCUUGCUUCUCUGAUGUUAGCGGCGGACGGGUGAGUAACACGUGGAUAACCUACCUAUAAGACUGGGAUAACUUCGGGAAACCGGAGCUAAUACCGGCUAAUAUUUUGAACCGCAUGGUUCAAAAGUGAAAGACGGUCUUGCUGUCACUUAUAGCUGGAUCCGCGCUGCAUUAGCUAGUUGGUAAGGUAACGGCUUACCAAGGCAACGAUGCAUAGCCGACCUGAGAGGGUGAUCAGCCACACUGGAACUGAGACACGGUCCAGACUCCUACGGGAGGCAGCAGUAGGGAAUCUUGCGCAAUGGGCGAAAGCCUGACGGAGCAACGCCGCGUGAGUGAUGAAGGUCUUCGGAUCGUAAAACUCUGUUAUUAGGGAAGAACAUAUGUGUAAGUAACUGUGCACAUCUUGACGGUACCUAAUCAGAAAGCCACGGCUAACUACGUG
rnacentral:rRNA from 1 species